rnacentral:piRNA from 3 species
AGUUGGUAGAGCGGAGGACUGUAGU